rnacentral:tRNA from 1 species
GGAGAGGUGCCGGAGUGGUCGAACGGGCUCGCCUGGAGAGCGAGUGUGCACUUUGUGUACCCAGGGUUCGAAUCCCUGCCUCUCCGCCA